CCUACGGGCGGCAGCAGUGGGGAAUAUUGCACAAUGGCGGGAACGCUGAUGCAGCGACGCCGCGUGAGUGAAGAAGUAGUUCGGUAUGGAAAGCUCUAUCAGCCGGGAAGAAAAUGACGGUACCUGAUUAAGAAGCCCCGGCUAACUACGUGCCAGCAGCCGCGGUAAUACGUAGGGGGCAAGCGUUAUCCGGAUUUACUGGGGGUAAAGGGAGCGUAGACGGCAGCACAAGUCUGGAGGGAAAUGCCGGGGCUUAACCCCCGAACUGCUUUGGAAACUGUGCAGCUUGAGUGCAGGAGAGGUAAGUGGAAUUCCUAGUGUAGCGGUGAAAUGCGUAGAUAUUAGGAGGAACACCAGUGGCGAAGGCGGCUUACUGGACUGGAACUGACGUUGAGGCUCGAAAGCGUGGGGAGCAAACAGGAUUAGAUACCCUUGUAGUC
rnacentral:rRNA from 1 species